rnacentral:rRNA from 1 species
GACAGAGGGUGCAACCGUUGUUCGGAAUUACUGGGCGUAAAGCGCGUGUAGGCGGCUCUGCAAGUCGGAUGUGAAAGCCCUGGGCUCAACCUAGGAAGUGCACUCGAAACUGCAGAGCUUGAGUCUCGGAGAGGAUCGCGGAAUUCUCGGUGUAGAGGUGAAAUGCGCAGAUAUCAGGAGGAACACCAGCGGCGAAGGCGGCGCUCUGGGCCGGUACUGACACUGAGGAGCGAAAGCGUGGGUAGCAAACAGG